rnacentral:rRNA from 1 species
UACGUAGGGUGCAAGCGUUGUCCGGAAUUAUUGGGCGUAAAGAGCUCGUAGGCGGUUUGUUGCGUCGGCUGUGAAAUCCCGAGGCCCAACCUCGGGUCUGCAGUCGAUACGAGCAAACUAGAGUGUUGCAGGGGAGACUGGAAUUCCUGGUGUAGCGGUGAAAUGCGCAGAUAUCAGGAGGAACACCGGUGGCGAAGGCGGGUCUCUGGGCCACUACUG